UACGUAGGGUGCGAGCGUUGUCCGGAAUUACUGGGCGUAAAGAGUUCGUAGGUGGUUUGUCGCGUUGUUCGUGAAAACCGGGGGCUUAACCCUCGGCGUGCGGGCGAUACGGGCAGACUUGAGUACUGCAGGGGAGACUGGAAUUCCUGGUGUAGCGGUGGAAUGCGCAGAUAUCAGGAGGAACACCGGUGGCGAAGGCGGGUCUCUGGGCAGUAACUGACGCUGAGGAGCGAAAGCGUGGGGAGCGAACAGG
rnacentral:rRNA from 1 species